rnacentral:rRNA from 1 species
GAUGAACGCUGGCGGCGUGCCUAAUACAUGCAAGUCGAGCGAAUGGAUUAAGAGCUUGCUCUUAUGAAGUUAGCGGCGGACGGGUGAGUAACACGUGGGUAACCUGCCCAUAAGACUGGGAUAACUCCGGGAAACCGGGGCUAAUACCGGAUAACAUUUUGAACCGCAUGGUUCGAAAUUGAAAGGCGGCUUCGGCCGUCACUUAUGGAUGGACCCGCGUCGCAUUAGCUAGUUGGUGAGGUAACGGCUCACCAAGGCAACGAUGCGUAGCCGACCUGAGAGGGUGAUCGGCCACAGUGGGACUGAGACACGGCCCAGACUCCUACGGGAGGCAGCAGUAGGGAAUCUUCCGCAAUGGACGAAAGUCUGACGGAGCAACGCCGCGUGAGUGAUGAAGGCUUUCGGGUCGUAAAACUCUGUUGUUAGGGAAGAACAAGUGCUAGUUGAAUAAGCUGGCACCUUGACGGUACCUAACCAGAAAGCCACGGCUAACUACGUGCCAGCAGCCGCCGCAG